rnacentral:rRNA from 1 species
GACGAACGCUGGCGGCGCGCUUAACACAUGCAAGUCGAGCGAGAACCAUGGCUUCGGCCAUGGGGACAGCGGCGAACGGGUGAGUAACACGUGGGCAAUCUGCCCUCGGCACUGGGAUAGCCCGGGGAAACCCGGAUUAAUACCGGAUAGCCUCUCGAGCUCACGGGCUCGUGAGAAAAGAUGGCUUCGGCUUUCGGCUGAGGAGGAGCCUGCGGCGGAUUAGCNGUUGGCGGGGUAACGGCCCACCAAGGCGACGAUCUGUAGCUGGUCUGAGAGGACGAUCAGCCACACUGGGACUGAGACACGGCCCAGACUCCUACGGGAGGCAGCAGUGGGGAAUCUUGCGCAAUGGGCGAAAGCCUGACGCAGCGACGCCGCGUGAGGGAAGAAGGCCUGCGGGUUGUAAAGCACUUUCAGUAGGGAAGAAAGCCGAGUGCUAAUAUCACUCGGUCUUGACGUUACUUACAGAAGAAGCACCGGCUAACUCCGUGCC